AUGCCUUUACAUUCAUAAUCCAGACUUCAUAGAAGACCCUGCCAUGAAAGCUUUUGCUCUGGGAAUCUUGAAGAUCUGUGACAUUGCAAGGGAAAAAGUCAACAAAGCUGCUGUUUUUGAGGAGGAAGAUUUCCAGUCAAUGACAUAUGGAUUUAAAAUGGCCAACGGUGUGACAGAUCUUCGAGUUACAGGUAUAAACUAUUGACUACAAUAAUUUGUAAGUUUUGCAUUUUGAUUUGUUUUAAAGCUUACUGUUCUCAUUCUAGGGAUGCUCAAAGAUGUGGAGGACGACAUGCAAAGGAGAGUAAAGAGUACUCGAAGUCGACAAGGAGAAGAGAGAGACCCAGAAGUUGAACUAGAACACCAGCAGUGCUUGGCAGCGUUCAGCAGAGUGAAGUUCACCCGAGUACUGCUGACAGUGCUCAUAGCCUUCACUAAGAAAGAGACCAUCCAAUUAUGAUGGGUUUUGAGCCCCUUGUUAACCAGAGAUUACUUCCACCCACCUUCCCUCGCUAUGCAAAAAUAAUUAAAAGAGAAGAAAUGGUCAACUAUUUCUCAAGAUUAAUAGACAGGAUAAAAACUGUCUGUGAAGUCGUGAACUUACCAAACUUACAUUGUAUCCUGGAUUUUUUCUGUGAAUUUAGUGAACAGUCACCAUGUGUUCUUUCAAGAUCUCUGUUACAAACUACUUUCCUCGUGGAUAACAAAAAAGUCUUUGGGACUCAUCUCAUGCAAGACAUGGUGAAAGAUGCCCUCCGGUCCUUCGUCAGUCCUCCGGUGCUCUCCCCCAA
rnacentral:lncRNA from 1 species